UGCUACAGAAACCACUUACAGAACACAAACAUAUAUCACAAAAGCCGGCCCUCGCUUUCUCGACCUGGUUCACGAUUCGGAGUCUAUGGCCUCUGAAAUUCUUGAAAUCAAUGUAUACGGAGGCAGCAACGCAGGAGGAAGCUCCACCGCCGCCUGCUGCCGAGGAGAAGCCGCCGGAGAAGGAAGAAGAUAGGAAAGCAGAGCAAGGAGAUGAAAAGAAAGCCGGCCACCCCCUUUCUCUCAGACCGUCUAAGCCGUCAUUCCUCUUUCUCUCCGAGUCCAACCCUUCUACCGAAGCCACUGAGGGUUGAAUCGACGGUCAGCGCAGCGUUAGAGCAGAGAAGAUAGUGGCACAGCUGAUUGGCGUCGAGAUUGAACAAGGAUUCCCCCCUUUCUCCAAGCCCUAACCCUAGCUCCCUCUCUCAUUCGAAGCCCUAAAUUCGAAGGACACGAAUUGAGACCGACAAGGCUUCAAUGCUAGAUGAGAUCAUCGACUAUGUCAAAUUCCUCCAGCUGCAAGUCAAAGUUCUGAGUAUGAGCAGGUUGGGCGGUGCUGCAACUGUUGCCCCCCUUGUUGCUGAUAUGUCCUCUGAGCCGUCCCGUAUCUGAAAACCCAAGCGUGGAUCCGCAGUUUAGUGUAUAAAUCAGUUUUUCCUGUUAAAGCUAGGAUUGCAGUUGCCGUUACUUUUUUUGUUACCGUUAUAUUGUUUGUAUGGCUCAUGAAGAAGUUGCAUAUAUGUAAUGGAAGAGAGAGCUAAAACAAAGCAAGAAGCUAUAAGAAUUUUGUUUUAUUUUGGUAUGGCAUAAGAAGCUAGAAAUUUGUAUAUGGUUAAUUUUUGUAUAAAACAAUGAUUUGGAAUUGGUUAUAUAUAUAUAUAUAUGAUGUUAUUGAUUAGUUGUAA